UACAGAGGUCUCAAGCGUUGUUCGGAUUCAUUGGGCGUAAAGGGUGCGUGGGCGGCGCGGUAAGUCGGGUGUGAAAUUUCGAGGCUUAACUUCGAAACUGCAUUCGAUACUGCCGUGCUAGAGGACUGGAGAGGAGACUGGAAUUUACGGUGUAGCGGUGAAAUGCGUAGAUAUCGUAAGGAAGACCAGUGGCGAAGGCGGGUCUCUGGACAGUUCCUGACGCUGAGGCACGAAGGCCAGGGGAGCAAACGGG
rnacentral:rRNA from 1 species